AUGAUACUGUCAGAUUUGAAAGGUCGCACUUCGUGGUGGAGACGGACGAUGCAGGGACUGGAGCUUUAUCACGAUGAUGGGUGUGUGGUCGAUGAUGACUGGAUAAUUGGUGUUGCAGGGCGCCUCGUUGGAAAAUAUGUACGUGAGGUGAAUGGAAGUGGGUAUUUUGUAUUAGUACCAUUAAUCUAUGUGUGUAUUUGUAUGUUCAUGGUUUUGAAGUUUUGA